rnacentral:rRNA from 1 species
UACAGAGGGGGCAAGCGUUGUUCGGAAUUACUGGGCGUAAAGGGCGCGUAGGCGGCCCGCUAAGUCGAACGUGAAAUCCCCGGGCUCAACCGGGGAACUGCGUCUGAUACUGGGUGGCUUGAAUUCGGGAGAGGGAUGCGGAAUUCCAGGUGUAGCGGUGAAAUGCGUAGAUAUCUGGAGGAAUACCGGUGGCGAAGGCGGCAUCCUGGACCGGCAUUGACGCUGAGGAGCGAAAGCCAGGGGAGCAAAGCGGG